rnacentral:rRNA from 1 species
UACGUAGUGUGCAAGCGUUAAUCGGAAUUACUGGGCGUAAAGCGUGCGCAGGCGGUUUUGUAAGACUGUCGUGAAAUCCCCGGGCUCAACCUGGGAAUGGCGAUGGUGACUGCAAGGCUAGAGUUUGGCAGAGGGGGGUAGAAUUCCACGUGUAGCAGUGAAAUGCGUAGAUAUGUGGAGGAACACCGAUGGCGAAGGCAGCCCCCUGGGUCAAAACUGACGCUCAUGCACGAAAGCGUGGGGAGCAAACAGG